rnacentral:rRNA from 1 species
UGGGGAAUUUUGGACAAUGGGCGCAAGCCUGAUCCAGCCAUGCCGCGUGAGUGAUGAAGGCCCUAGGGUUGUAAAGCUCUUUCACCGGGGAAGAUAAUGACGGUAACCGGAGAAGAAGCUCCGGCUAACUUCGUGCCAGAAGCCGCGGUAAUACGAAGGGGGCUAGCGUUGUUCGGAUUUACUGGGCGUAAAGCGCACGUAGGCGGACUAUUAAGUCAGGGGUGAAAUCCCGGGGCUCAACCCCGGAACUGCCUUUGAUACUGGUAGUCUUGAGUUCGAGGGGGGUGAGUGGAAUUCCGAGUGUAGAGGUGAAAUUCGUAGAUAUUCGGAGGAACACCAGUGGCGAAGGCGGCUCACUGGCUCGAUACUGACGCUGAGGUGCGAAAGCGGGGGGAGCAAACAGG